rnacentral:rRNA from 1 species
AUGCAGUCGUACGAGAAAGAGGUUGCUUGCAACCUUGAGUAGAGUGGCGCACGGGUGAGUAACACGUAGAUAAUCUGCCUUCAAGUCUGGAAUAACUAUUCGAAAGGGUAGCUAAUACCGGAUGAAGUUAAAUUACAUAGGUUUUUUAAUGAAAGAUUGCCUCUUUGCAAUGCAAUCGCUUGGAGAUGAGUCUGCGGACCAUUAGCUUGUUGGUGGGGUAAAGGCCUACCAAGGCUGCGAUGGUUAGCUGGUCUGAGAGGAUGAUCAGUCACACUGGAACUGGAACACGGUCCAGACUCCUACGGGAGGCAGCAGUGAGGAAUUUUGCGCAAUGGGGGAAACCCUGACGCAGCAACGCCGCGUGAGUGAAGAAGGCCCUUGGGUCGUAAAGCUCUGUCAACUGGGAAGAAGUUAGAUCAUAUUAAUAGUAUGUUCUAUUGACGGUACCAGUGGAGGAAGCGCCGGCUAACUCCGUGCCAGCAGCCACGGUAACACGGGGGGCGCAAGCGUUAUUCGGAAUUAUUGGGCGUAAAGGGCGCGCAGGCGGUCUUGUCAGUCAGGUGUGAAAGCCCGGGGCUCAACCCUGGAAGUGCACUUGAAACAGCAAGACUUGAGUACUGGAGAGGAAAGCGGAAUUCCUGGUGUAGAGGUGAAAUUCGUAGAUAUCAGGAGGAACACCGAUGGCGAAGGCAGCUUUCUGGACAGAUACUGACGCUGAGGCGCGAAGGCGUGGGGAGCGAACGGGAUUAGAUACCCCGGUAGUCCACGCAGUAAACGUUGUACACUCGGUGUCUCGGAUAUUAAAAUCUGAGGUGCCCAAGCUAACGCAUUAAGUGUACCGCCUGGGAAGUACGGUCGCAAGACUAAAACUCAAAGGAAUUGACGGGGGCCCGCACAAGCGGUGGAGCAUGUGGUUUAAUUCGACGCAACGCGAAGAACCUUACCUGGGUUUGACAUCCUGUGAAUAUUGCGUAAUUGCAAUAGUGCCUUCCGGAGCACA